rnacentral:lncRNA from 1 species
UCGCGGGCUGCCGCGGGGCGGGGCCCCCAAGGAGGGGACGAACCAAGAGUCCGAAAGGUGGGGUGGGCGGGGCCUGUCAAGGGCAUCCCAUUCCUCCUUAGGGUCUUAAAGACAAACUCGCGCUGACCUGGGACAGAGGGGGCUCAGCUGGCGUCAGCGUGGACACAGCAAGGCCGGAACGUCAGACCCCGAAAGCAGGGAAGAAGCUCCCGAAGGAGGCUCCGAGGGCGCCCGAGGACCCAGGCGCUGAGGGCUCCCCUCAUAUUCCCUGGCUCUGUCUUGCAGCUGACGUUUUUCCUUCCGAGUGCUCCCCGGUGUGUGUGAGUGGUGGGUGUAUAUUUGAUCGUGGGUGGCGGAUGAGUGUGUGUGUGUGUGAGUGUGUGCGGUUGGGAGUGUGCGUGCGGUUCGUGCUGGGGGUGGAGCGCGGCCCGCUGAGCAAGCCCCAGCCCCUCCUGAGGUCUCGAGCCGUUCUCCCCACCAGUCACCGUGGGGCCCAGGAGUGACGGGUCUGAUGGAUGAACGUUUGACACAAGACCGAAACUACCCCGCCCAAGCCACAGCCACGUCUUGGCACCAGCAAAGCUCCACGUGGCGACCCUGAGACAAUGGCCAGCGGUAAUGAUCAGCCGCUCCAGGGCUGGACCAAGACGAGCCGGGCCUCUGCUAAGCGUGGAAACCCCAGCCUUUGCCUUUGUUCCUCUGCCUGUAUUCAAAGCCCGUCUGGCCGUGCUGGAGAAGCCAAACUUCAGGAGAUCGGAGUUGGUGAAAGGAGCCGGGUGUGAAGACGACAGAGCGGACUUUCACCUCAAAGCUCCAUCUUUAGGCAGCUCAGGGAGCACAAAUGGUUUCUGUGGAGGAAAGAGAAGGUAUGUGCGGGAACUCCGUGUUUCGGGGGAAGGGUCUUCUGCAUCUAUGCGGGUGGUUCCUCUCCUGCUGAACCAGUUUCAUGGACUUUGACCUCCUCCAGCUGUUUAAUUAGAAUUUAAACCAGGCCUGGUGGUGCAGGCCUGUAAUCCCAGCACUCGGGAGGCUGAGGCAGGAGGAUCGCUGUGAGUUCCAGGGCAGCCUGGGCUACAGAGUGAGUUCAAGGCCAGCGUGAACUGCAAAGCGAAACCCAGUCUCAAAAAGGCAAAAUAAGGGGCUGGGGAUUUAGCCCAGUGGCACAGCGCCUGCCUGGCAAGUGCAAGGUCGUGAGUUCAAUUCCCGGUACCAGAAAAAAACAAAAAACAAAAACAAAAACAAAAGGCAAAAUAAUAAUAAUAAUAAUAAUUAGAACUUAAGAGAGGGUUCCAUUCAAAUGGCUGGGGGGCUGUCAAAAGACAGUUUCAAGAGUCUCUGUUACAACUCCUCACUUGUUUGGGACCUGGGACAACAGUCAAUCAAUCUGGCCACUUCCUGCUAAACUGGGAUGCACGUACGGGUUAGAGAAAUUACUGGCACUUACUUAGCCAUGAGAAGGGCACAGGCUCAGUCAUCAAACAACAGCUGAAGUCUAUAAGCAAAAGAGCCAGAACUUAAGCCCCACUAAAUCCUAACAAAGAACGUGAAUGGGAAAUUAUAAGUAAUUCAUGUAGAGGUCCUUUUUUUUAAUGGCUCCAUGGACAUGGGCUACUAAAAAAGCGUAUUGGGGAUCAGUGAAAGUAGUCAUUUUCUCACCUGUGUUGAAACAGAGGAUCCUGCCAGAGCUAUGGCUUGUGCUUCCCGUGCAUAGGUACCUGGGAGCAGGGCUUUUCCUCCUAGUGUCAGGCAGUUGUCCAUAAGAACGAUUCCGUCAUAACUUCCAGGCUCUACUUACUUUUUGAUAGGGCCAACACAGCUGUCUUCAUUUUUAUUCUGAAAACGUAACACCUUCCCCUGGAAAGACUUAUUUGUAACGUGUGUUAGUUACUGUUCUUGCUGCUGAGACAAAAUACCCAACACCCAAGUUUAAAUGAGGAAAGGUUUAUUUAGCUCACAGUCUGUAGAGGUUUCAGUGCAUGAACGGCUGGCUCCAAGGCAGGCUGGCAGGCAGAAGGCAGUAAAGCAGUGAAGUAGGGCCUGGGGAUAUAGCUCAGUGGCAUAAGCGCUUGCCUGGCAAGCCUGAGGUCAUGAGUUCAAUUCCUGGUACCAAAAAAAAAAAAAAAAAAAAAAGCAGUGAAGUAGCCAAGCAGAACCAUGGGACAGCACCAGCCCUCUUUCUGUCCCUUAUAUUCUAUCCUGGCUACAUACCCCUAGGGCAGGUAGCUCCCACACCCAGGGAGGGCCUUCCCAUGGUGCAUGUACGAGCUGUGCCAGGCCAAUCAGUGGAGUAACUUAGUAAUCACACACCCUUGACCCCAGCAUCACACGCUGUACAUCCAGCCACCUCUGAAAAGCCCCACCUGUGACCACAUGAAGCUUUGAGGGGACAUCUAGACACUGUCGUAACAGAAGGUCAUUGGAUCGCGCGUGGGUCCUAUACUCACACAGGAGCAGUCCACCGAGCAGUUCAUAGCUGACUUGCUGUGAGGAGGUGAGGUAUGUCAGACGUGGUCCCAGGGAGCAUAAUUUGGAAGGGUGUCUCUCCCGCCCUGACUCCUUCUUUCUCUCUCUGCUUCCAGCUGCCAUGGGUUGGGCGCCCUUUCUCUGCCAGGCCCCUCUGCUCUCUGCUUCUGCCUUGGAACCAGCCAACAAGGGACUGAAACCCCAAGCAAAAUAAACCUCUCUUACUGUAAAUUGUGGGUACCGGUAAUUGUGUCCCAGUGACUAAGAUAAAUAUCGAUCUCCAUGCAAGGCUUGAAAUUUGGUAACAAAAUGAAAACAAC